CGACACAAGUCACUCGUCAGGUUUGAAUUGUACUUGCAAGUCAUUUUUGUGUUGACGUUUAUCUCCGUCUGUAAGUGGACUUCUUACUGGAAAAGGUGAUAACUUUUGAAUUUUAUAACGUCUUGGAAGAAUAUGUGUUGCCUGAAAAUUUUAACUCCAUUCGAAUGAAGAGGGAGCGAAUUGAAAUGCGACGUAUGUCUGUGAACUUUAUAAUGGAUACGUAUAGCUUUUUGAUGCCCAGUGGUAACCAGCCUUCCAUGUGGCUGAACAGAUGCCAGUGUAUCCGAAUUCUGAGACACAACUGGAUGUCCUUUUCUUCUGCUUUUAAGAUUCCCAAUUUGAGAUGAUGUGUAGUUCAUGUUAGAUUUGCUAUUUCUACAGGUAAGACUAGUGAGAGUGUGAAUCCUCACAAACACAGAGACUGAGGUGCAUCAGUCCCAGCAGUCACUAAACAGCAAUGUUGUUCUGUUUUGCAAAAUAACAUUUAUUUUCUUAAGUUACUGUGCUUUUGUUGUUGGAUUUUGAAAGAACUGAGACUUAAUUUUAACUUAAAACAAAACUAAGGUAGGAGAGAAAAACGAAGAUGUUUUCAUGUAGGUACCGACACCUGAGCACAACACAUUAGAAGUUCAGAUAUAAAGAGAUUGUAACACAAUAUCUACUGUAUCCAUAAUGUAAAAGGGAAAAAUGAUGCUACAUAUAAUGACAAUUAAGUCGGGGUGCUUUCAACAUCCAACAAAAAACCACAAUAAUUUAAAAACAUAUUAUUAGUUACACUUUACUCUAAGCAGAACUUUAUCUAUUGUGAUGGUUUACUUUGGUAAUAAUUGAUCUACAGGUGUACCAAGGAAGGAGGCAGAACAAAAAGGGUACACUUUAUUAAUGUUUGAACUCCGUGAGUGAAUAUCUACUGUGUUUAUGUUUUUAACAGUUACAGUGAAGUAGAAGAGUCUGGCCGUGUUAUGGAGCAGCAGUUAAAGGAGGAAGGAGAGAUAUGUGCCAUGUUGAAGUAGCAGCUGACCCUCCUGCCCGGCACUUCUAGAAUCCUCCAUCUCAAUCUCUGCUCUGAUCUGCUGUGUCUUUGCCAAGUGAUCACGACUUUAUUGCAGUGGUGUCUCCCUGCGUCUCCACUGUCUGUUAAAUCAACUCCAACUGCCUAUGACAGAAGAAAAGUUCACAAGGCAUCCUGAAAUUGAACUGUGAUUGGAGUGAGACUGCCACAAUUAUGUAUGCUGGGAUGUGCAGAGGGGGCUGUGUGGGCUUUGGCUUGGGACCCCCAGAGGUUUAUUAUCUCUGGCAACCUUGAUAGCAGCAAGUUUGUGUUUGUCCUCAGCCAUUUGACCAGGAAGUAUAUUUAAUACAAAGGACAAGGACCCCUCCAUUUGCUUCUUAUUUACUUUUAUAAUACCUUCAAUUUUCUUUGUAACUGUAUAUUUUUGUAGAGCAAUUUGAGCAACACUUGUAAACAAAGGUGAUAUAAAAAUAUUCUUAGUGAACAAAUGUUAAGGGACAGAUCAGGAAAAAUGUCUAAAUGUUUAGCUUAAAUAGAACAAUGUUUUAUGAAAUAUUGCUGGAUAACAACUCUUUGACUCUGAGUAGCAUCUUGUUCAUAAAGCUAAAAUAGCAUUUUUCCUUUUUUGACAAAUUUAAUGAUUCACUUUUAUUGUGUUCAAAACCUUGGCUAACAUUUUUUUUUAAAAUACUAAGGUAAAAAUCUGUAAAUAUAUUUGUGUUCUCCUUCCCUAAUAGUUUUUAACACCUCCCCUUGUUGGCCAUUUUCAUUGUAGUUGUGAUCUAGUUAAAUGCAUUUACCAUUUAUACAUCUUUAUGAUUACUGAAUUUCCUACUCAUAAUAUACAUACAGUAUCUAUACUA